rnacentral:lncRNA from 1 species
UCCAUGACAGCAAGGUGCAAGCGGAGAUAAGACAACCACCUGGGUCAGGAACUUGUAGAGAGGAUUCCUACAUGGAGUGGGAGACUGAAAUAAUAACCUCAAAGAUGCCUUCCAAUCAGAAGAUUUGGUGAUUCUUUCUGAGUUAUCAAACUGCCUUCCUUUGACCUUGCUCACAUGUAGAAAUCCAAGUCAGGAAACCCUGCUAUCACACGGAAGCAAGCCUAGGUUAGCCUCCUAAAGAAUCACAAAAAGAAAGACCCUAGCUGUCUGAAUGAUCUGAGCUAAGUCCCCAGACGUGCAAGUGUGGCCAUCCUAGACCACUGAGCUCCAGCCAAGCCAGCUUGCAUCAGAAGAACUGUCCAGAAAACUCACAGAAUCAUAAGAAAUAAUGCAGCGCAGCUUAACUUGGACUCACCACCUAUCAAGUGCUCGACAGCCACGUGUGCAGUGGUUCCUACGUGGAGCAGCAUACAUCCAGAGAUGCAAAUAUUAAUGAGGACAGUGCUAGUAACAGAGUUGCUGAGCAAUCUAUGUCCCCUUGUAAGAACCAGUGCCCCAGGGGAAGAAACAGAACUCCACAAGGUAGCAGUGUGGGUGUAGUACCCGCAUGUGCCCAUGUUAUGGGAAUGUAGAUGGGGAGUGACCACCGCCAACAGAAGUGUGGCCAUCUUGCCCGAGAUGCCUGAGGACCUCCUAUUUUUAGAUGCUGCUGCCCAAGGCCUGUAUUUCAUGCUAUGGCUUUUGUCAUUUGAAUUAUCAGUAGCUGUCUCGGAGCUAUUACGCUUCACUGGGCCCUGGAGGAUAUUGUCUUAUACAGUCCACUGGGUUUUGGAUAUGCAGUCUGUGCCUUUCAUUGCCUUCCUGGAAAAUAAUAACUAAACUCUUCCUCACCAGG